rnacentral:tRNA from 1 species
GUCAGAGUGGUGGAACGGUAUACACAUCAGACUUAAAAUCUGACGCUUUCGAGAUUGAGGGUUCAAGUCCCUCCUCUGAUACCA